rnacentral:rRNA from 1 species
UACAGAGGUCCCGAGCGUUGUUCGGAUUCACUGGGCGUAAAGGGUGCGUAGGUGGUGAGGUAAGUCGGAUGUGAAAUCUCCAAGCUCAACUUGGAAAUGGCAUUGGAAACUACCUUGCUCGAGGGUUUGAGGGGGGACUGGAAUACUUGGUGUAGCAGUGAAAUGCUUAGAUAUUCGCAAGAACACCAGUGGCGAAGGCGGCUCACUGGCCCGGUACUGACGCUGAGGUGCGAAAGCGUGGGGAGCAAACAGG